rnacentral:rRNA from 1 species
AACGAACGCUGGCGGCAGGCCUAACACAUGCAAGUCGAGCGCCCCGCAAGGGGAGCGGCGGACGGGUGAGUAACGCGUGGGAAUAUGCCCUUUGCUACGGAAUAGUCUCGGGAAACUGGGGGUAAUACCGUAUACGCCCUUUGGGGGAAAGAUUUAUCGGCGAAGGAUUAGCCCGCGUUGGAUUAGGUAGUUGGUGGGGUAAUGGCCUACCAAGCCGACGAUCCAUAGCUGGUUUGAGAGGAUGAUCAGCCACACUGGGACUGAGACACGGCCCAGACUCCUACGGGAGGCGGCAGGGGGGAAUCUUAAACAAUGGGGCAACCCUGAUCUAGCCAUGCCGCGUGAGUGAUGAAGGCCUUAGGGUUGUAAAGCUCUUUCAGCUGGGAAGAUAAUGACGGUACCAGCAGAAGAAGCCCCGGCUAACUCCGUG